CUUAGUUCGUUGAAAAAGAGAAAUGUGAAUUUAGAAGGUGACGGUUGUAUUUUUCUGUUUAAUAAGGAAAAUAGGUGUGAGAAUAUUUCCUUUGAUGACAUUGUGUGAGUUUAUUUUGUUUAUUUAUUAGACUAAAAAAUCUAAGAGAGCUUGUGUAACGUAGCAAACUCGCUGCUGGCACACAUCUCCCAGCUAGAACUACCUGAGCUGUACUGUCGGACUAUCGCCUCUUGAGGCACAAGUGGUAUUACAACACAGGACGGGCCGGGGCUAGCAGGUCCCCUGACUCUCCAGUGCAGGAAACAGUGUGUGGUUUUUGUAUUAGGGUUUUUCACUGUGAUGGGCUGGUCGGCACGGUGAUAUAGAUCCAUACAAAAACCUAAGAGCAGUAAUCUGACACUCUCCCUUUCUUGUGAUGGAAAAAAAGGACAGGACAAAAUAUUUCUCAUUGGAAUAUGAGGUUUUUGUACAAGCAGUGAGUGGAGAUGCAGCACUGUGAUGCUUUCGACUACUGGGGUCGUGGGACUGAAGUCACAGUAUCUUCAGGUGAAGAGACGGUAGAGGAUGAGAUGGAUGCACAGCGCAGACGACUACAGGUCUUCAUUUGUUUUUUGUCUUUUUUAAAACAUGUACAUUAUCGAUGAUCUACUGUACAUCUGCUAAAUGAAAUGGUCGUCAUAUAUAAUGAUUAACUAAACACUGAAAAUAGAUUUCUCUGUAACCUGUAGAAAAAUCUAAAAUACAACUGCAAUUGUUGAUAUGAAUACAUUUGGAUUGUUGUUACAUUAUGAUUACAGAGGUUCUUGAUUACUUUUCAUUAAAAUGUGUUAGUGAAGUGUAGCAUUAACUUGUCAUUGAUAUGUAAAUAACAAAUUGUACUGUAGUAGAAACAGAAAUCUUUGCUUUUCAUUUUUGGUCAUUUUGUUGAUCAUAUUUGCUUUCAUCAUUAAUUCGGUAGAUAUGAUACUUACAAUAGAUGAGAUUUGUACAGACACAAACAUUAAAGGGAGUUUGAAUAUGAGUCAUAGUAUGCUUGUGAUCAACAUAAAAAGCUUCUGAGGAUUUUGUUCACAACAUCUAAAAUAACACCACAUCAAGUCAACGUACCGUAAACUUCUGUUAUCAGUUUAAGCUCUGAAGGUUUUUCAAUUUCCUGGAGUUUCUAAACAUAUCAUCUUUAGAGAGUCACUUCCCCUCUCUCUGCACCUCUGGGACCACACCUGUAGCAGUGAAACUUUGUAGAAACCGUCAGAGCUACGAAUAAACUUCCUCGAAGCAAGA